rnacentral:tRNA from 1 species
CGCGACCGUGCGCGGGCGCCGCCCCACGGCCGCGGCCCAGCACGCCGCGAGGCCGGUCGGCUCGUCCGGUUCGGGCCCGGUGGCCGCGA